rnacentral:rRNA from 1 species
GGUUCGAUUAGUCUUUCGUAACUACGAGUGAAGCGGCAAAAGCUCAGAUUUAAAAUCUCGCUACGAGUCUCCACCCGAGUUGCUCUGUGUGACCCUAUUCACGCGUGGGCCGCGUACAAGGUUCCUGGACCGGCGCGUUAUANAGGGUGAGAAUCCCGUCUUUGACACGGACCCCAAUGCUUUGUGAUGCGCUCUCAAAGAGUCGAGUUGUUUGGGAAUGCAGCUCAAAAUGGGUGGUGAAUUCCAUCUAAAGCUAAAUAUUGGCGAGAGACCGAUAGCGAACAAGUACCGUGAGGGAAAGAUGAAAAGCACUUUGGAAAGAGAGUUAAACAGUACGUGAAAUUGUUGAAAGGGAAACGCUUGAAGUCAGUCGCGUUGGCCGGGACUCAGCCUUGCAUCAGCUUGGUGUACUUUCCGGUCGACGGGCCAGCAUCAGUUUUGACCGCGGGAUAAAGGUGGAGGGAAUGUGGCUCUUUCGGGAGUGUUAUAGCCCUUCGUCGGAUGCCGUGGUUGGGACUGAGGAACUCAGCACGCCUUCAUGGCCGGGGUUCGCCCACGUACGUGCUUAGGAUGCUGGCGUAAUGGCUUUAAACGACCCGUCUUGAAACACGGACCAAGGAGUCUAACAUGCCUGCGAGUGUUCGGGUGGAAAACCCGUGCGGCGUAAUGAAAGUGAAAGUUGGGAUCCCUGUCGUGGGGUGCACCGACGCCCGGACCAGACCUUUUGUGACGGAUCUGCGGUAGAGCAUGUAUGUUGGGACCCGAAAGAUGGUGAACCUAUGCCUGAAUAGGGUGAAGCCAGAGGAAACUCUGGUGGAGGCUCGUAGCGAUUCUGACGUGCAAAUCGAUCGUCAAAUUUGGGUAUAGGGGCGAAAGACUAAUCGAACCAUC